rnacentral:rRNA from 1 species
AAAUAGAUACCCCGGUAGUCCACGCCGUAAACGGUGGGCACUAGGUGUGGGCGACAUUCCACGUCGUCCGUGCCGCAGCUAACGCAUUAAGUGCCCCGCCUGGGGAGUACGGCCGCAAGGCUAAAACUCAAAGGAAUUGACGGGGGCCCGUACAAGCGGCGGAGCAUGUGGCUUAAUUCGACGCAACGCGAAGAACCUUACCAAGGCUUGACAUACACCGGAAACGUCCAGAGAUGGGCGCCCCCUUGUGGUCGGUGUACAGGUGGUGCAUGGCUGUCGUCAGCUCGUGUCGUGAGAUGUUGGGUUAAGUCCCGCAACGAGCGCAACCCUUGUCCCGUGUUGCCAGCAGGCCCUUGUGGUGCUGGGGACUCACGGGAGACCGCCGGGGUCAACUCGGAGGAAGGUGGGGACGACGUCAAGUCAUCAUGCCCCUUAUGUCUUGGGCUGCACACGUGCUACAAUGGCCGGUACAAUGAGCUGCGAUACCGCGAGGUGGAGCGAAUCUCAAAAAGCCGGUCUCAGUUCGGAUUGGGGU